rnacentral:rRNA from 1 species
AACGAACGCUGGCGGCAUGCCUAACACAUGCAAGUCGAACGAGACCUUCGGGUCUAGUGGCGCACGGGUGCGUAACGCGUGGGAACCUGCCCUUAGGUUCGGAAUAACUCCCCGAAAGGGGUGCUAAUACCGGAUAAUGUCUUCGGACCAAAGAUUUAUCGCCUUUGGAUGGGCCCGCGUUGGAUUAGCUAGUUGGUAGGGUAAAAGCCUACCAAGGCGACGAUCCAUAGCUGGUCUGAGAGGAUGAUCAGCCACACUGGGACUGAGACACGGCCCAGACUCCUACGGGAGGCAGCAGUGGGGAAUAUUGGACAAUGGGCGAAAGCCUGAUCCAGCAAUGCCGCGUGAGGUAUGAAGGCCUUAGGGUUGUAAAGCUCGUUUACCCGGGAUGAUAAUGACAGUACCGGGAGAAUAAGCGCCGGCUAACUCCGUG